rnacentral:rRNA from 1 species
GCUCAACCCCGAGCGGCCAUUGGAAACUGGGGAGCUUGAGUGCAGAAGAGGAGAGUGGAAUUCCACGUGUAGCGGUGAAAUGCGUAGAGAUGUGGAGGAACACCAGUGGCGAAGGCGACUCUCUGGUCUGUAACUGACGCUGAGGCGCGAAAGCGUGGGGAGCAAACAGGAUUAGAUACCCUGGUAGUCCACGCCGUAAACGAUGAGUGCUAGGUGUUAGGGGUUUCGAUGCCCGUAGUGCCGAAGUUAACACAUUAAGCACUCCGCCUGGGGAGUACGGCCGCAAGGCUGAAACUCAAAGGAAUUGACGGGGACCUGCACAAGCAGUGGGGCAUGUGGUUUAAUUCGAAGCAACGCGAAGAACCUUACCAGGUCUUGACAUCCUUUGACCACCCAAGAGAUUGGGCUUCCCCUUCGGGGGCAAAGUGACAGGUGGUGCAUGGUUGUCGUCAGCUCGUGUCGUGAGAUGUUGGGUUAAGUCCCGCAACGAGCGCAACCCUUGAUCUUAGUUGCCAGCAUUAAGUUGGGCACUCUAAGGUGACUGCCGGUGACAAACCGGAGGAAGGUGGGGAUGACGUCAAAUCAUCAUGCCCCUUAUGACCUGGGCUACACACGUGCUACAAUGGAUGGUACAAAG